GUGACAAAAAAAUGAGUUUUUUUUCUCACUUAUAUUUUGGGAUGAAAGAGUAAUUAAGUUCUAGUGAUUAAUGAACUCUCCCGAGGAUGAGUCAUUUAGGAAAACCUGAAUUUGAUUUCUAAAAAAAUAAUUCUAAGUCAGAGUUUACUUAUCACGCAGUCGAACUCUGAAUUAUUGGGCUCUCCUCACUACAAAAAAAUUUGUCUCUUGCGACUGAUAUAUAGCGGCUGUUCUUUGGAACCGUCGCCGCUAUCAUAUUUUCAAGAUACUUUGUGGCCGUUCAAUCAACCGUCGUGACGUUUUCUACUUUCCGCGCGGCUUCACACACUCACGUUCACGUUCGCUCUAUUUUUCUCUUCAGAAUUUGAAUUUUUUCUCAAACCCUUCCUUCUUCACAUAUUCGUUCAAAGUUGAUUCCUUCAAUCCCUUCGUUCUUCACAUAUUUUUUCUCAAACCUUCGUUCUUCACAGAUUUGUUCAAUCCAUCACAGAUUUCACCGAUUCCUUCAACUAACCCACAAAAUCCGUAUCAAGCUCACUGAUUCCUUCUUGUUCGAUCAAACUCAAGCUCAAAAUCAAACUCUAACUCCAUCAAUUGUUCAACUUUAGCUUCAAUCUUCAUAAUCCGGGUUCAUCGGUUAAAUUUGGUAAUUAGGUUCACUUAAUUUAGUAUGAUUUUGAAAUUUGGUAAUUAGGUUUUUGACAUUUCAGUGUUCGUUCAAAUAUUCAGCUUCUGCUUCAGAUUCGUCCUACAGCUUUGUUCAUUCAUUCAAACUUCAAAAUCCAGGUUCAUUUGGUUAAUUUUAUUUUCAAUUUUACUUUGAAAUUUUAUGCAAAUCGAACCUUGUUAUUUAGUUCAUAUUCAAUUAUUGAUCUUAGUUAAAAGGUAUAUAUACAAAUGGAUAUAUAAUAGAUGCAAAAUGGAUAGAAAUUUAACCUAAGUACUUUAGUGAUUGUCAAUAAAUGCACUAUUUAGAGUCUGUAUUUUGGUUCACAUAGUGAGCAUAUAUGUGAGUUAUUGUUAAAAAUUUCAAUCUAGUAUAUAUUCAUAUGGUGUGAACUUAAGAAAUUUGUUGUUUUUUAACUUUGUAGAUUGUUUCUAAUCUUGUGGAUUGGUUUUGGUUCUGUUAAAUUAUGCAGAACUAGUAUGUACUGCUAAAAUUUUAUUUAGUUAUACUCUUGACAAUAUCAUAAUGAAUUUGUAGGACUCUUUUAUGUUAAUGAUUUUUUUUUUUUACUAAAAAUGUUAAUGAAUUGUUUAGAUGAUAACACAUAUACCCUUUGGCAAGAGUUGAUGAUGAUAAUGAUGAUAUGCUUUUAUGAAUAAUGUUUAGAUUAAAAAAUUGACGUGGAUGAAGUUUCAAUUUUGUGACUGUUCUCUUAAUGUGAUUGAAUCUCUGCCUAGUCACUGCAAUCAUUUAAUUGACUGAUAAGUACUGAUUAAAGGUUUUGUUAAUCAUUCCCUGGAACUUGCCAUGACUUUACACCACUAAAUGGUUCCUUAGAAGAGAAUUUAAUGGGAACUUUACUACAAUACAUUUAGGAGUCACAAUGUAAUGGUUAGAAGACAGGACUAUCAUAUACUGAUUUUCAAUAGUGUGGCCAGAAUUAUGUAUAUGUUUUGAUUAAUCCAAUUAGGUAUUCCUUGAUAUUUAUAUCCUUAAUCUAGUACUUACUGCUCUAGUGUAACAGGAUCUAAUCUUGGGCCUGCGGUUUUACACGAACUGGAAAAAUUCCUGUACAUUCAUUAGGACUUCCAUCUCUUCCAUCUCUUAUUUCUUUUUAAUAUCAUUGAAGAUUUUGUGGUUGCAUUCUCAGUUCUAUUUAUUUUACCGUGUUUUUGCAGGCUCGAUGGGAACUUAGAGAGAUUUCUCUUAGUCAUAACCAAUUUAGUGGCCACAUUCCUCAAAGUAUUGGUAACCAAUUGCACUACCACGAUAUGUAAGAGAUAAGGUAAGAUUCCCCUGACAUACUUUAUGUGUUAGAUUUGAGUUUGUUCAAUUUCUAUGUCAGCUUGUUAUUCCUGAUUCUGGUGUAAAUAAUUUAUGCUUUGAAAUAUAGUAAGAUCUUUUUUAGAAUUAUGUUUAAUUAGAAGUCAAAUUUAUGAGCUCUACUUCUAACUCAUAAUCUGUAACUGAUGACAUGACUGAAGUCUAGGCCAUUGGCUGUUAAAUUCUGAAGGAUAUCUGCAACUGCAAACAUAUAGAUAAAGAAUCAACAUAAUCUGUAUUUCUAUGCUUAUUAAUUGGCUUGUGUUUUAAAAAAGUAUGUUAUGAAUAUGGAGUAUGUCACAUUUUUAAUGUUGGAUUAAGAUACCAUUUUGCAAAUAUUGUCAGUUUCCCACCUUUUGAUAGAUAUAGGGAAAUGCUUUCUUAGUAUCUAGAGUUGCAGAUGCAUCUUGCUCUAUGUGGAGUUUGGACAUAAUUGUUUCAUAAGAAUAAUAGAUCUCACUCGCCAGAGACAGUUGUUGACAGUGAAGACUCCCCUUAACCUUUGGAUAACGGAUCAUCAAGUGACAAUGAGGAAAGCUAUCAACACAUGAAAAUCACUUUUCCAGGAAAGAAAAUGCAGACCAUGGCAGAUCGAUUUCAUGAUGCUUUAGGGUCUUCCUCUGUUAUCGCUGAAAAUGUUGGAGCACUUAAUUCAUUGAGAACUGGAAUAAAAACUCAAACAGUCCAUUAAGCUGGAAUUCUGAAGCAGGUUUUUGAAAGGGGCAACGUCGGAGAAGAAGGAUGUUAUUCGCCGGUGAUUGAAGCUCAAUCGAUAUUCUGAGUUGCAGCUACCUAUAAAAAAUGUUCCUCCAUGUAAAUCUACUAUAGUAGAAAUUUAGAAGUAUUUUAAUCACUUUGCUGUCAUUUGAAGUGUUCUACUUUCCAUAAAAUAUUAUGUUUUCUUUGUUGAUUAUA